UACGUAGGUGGCAAGCAUUGUCCGGAUUUACUGGGCGUAAAGAGCGCGCAGGCGGUUCAUCAAGUCGAAUGUGAAAGCCCCCGGCUCAACUGGGGAGGGUCAUUCGAUACUGCCGUGCUUGAGGACUGGAGAGGAGACUGGAAUUUACGGUGUAGCGGUGAAAUGCGUAGAUAUCGUAAGGAAGACCAGUGGCGAAGGCGGGUCUCUGGACAGUUCCUGACGCUGAGGCACGAAGGCCAGGGGAGCAAACGGG
rnacentral:rRNA from 1 species